rnacentral:lncRNA from 1 species
AUGGAGCUGAUGGUCCCCAAGGCCCACCAGGCUCAAUUGGCUCUGUUGGAGGUGUUGGUGAAAAGGGUGAACCUGGAGAAGCUGGUAACCCUGGACCUCCUGGAGAAUCUGGAACAUCCGGUCCAAAAGGUGAAAGGGGAGAAAAAGGUGAGGCUGGUCCACCCGGAGCAGCCGGACCACCAGGUGCUAAAGGACCUCCAGGUGAUGAUGGCCCUAAGGGUAACCCAGGUCCGGUUGGUUUUCCUGGAGAUCCUGGUCCCCCUGGGGAACCUGGUCCAGCUGGUCAAGAUGGUGUUGGUGGAGAGAAGGGUGAAGAUGGUGAUCCUGGUCAACCUGUGA